rnacentral:lncRNA from 1 species
GAGCUCGCUGUUACCUGAAGGGAUGGACUGGUCGGUGGAAUGUCCGGUGCCGUGAGUUACCUGCUCAGCCCUGGAGCAGGGGUCAAAGCUGGGCGGAGCUGGACAGCCAGUCUCAGCCUCAGGUACUCCAGUGACAAGCAGCAGCACCAGUGCUGAUGAGGGUAGCAGGGAAAACUGGUGAAAUGUGCCGAGGUCUCUCCAGAGGUGGUAGGCGGUUGCGCCAGCUUCACAUCCUGGAUAGGCAGGAACGUUUCCCUAUCAUACUCCUGUCCCGGGUCUCAUGUGUCUCAGUUCAAACAGACACUGCCGUCUAUCUUCAAGCUGCAAUGAAGCUGAGAGCCACAGAAAACACCUGUACCAUGGUUUCAGGGAGGAGUCUCUUCCCUCAGCCGAAAACAGACAGCUUUGCUGGUCAUCUGUUCUCCACUGCGAGGACGCUGCCACUCAGUGUGGAGAGAGGAAGGGGUUCUGCCUAUGGUGCAAGAAGGUCGGACUCGGCAGUUCAUCAUGGGUCCUCUGGAAAUCUCCUACCUUUGUGAGCAAAGAUUACUGCAGGGUGGAAGACAGGUCCAUGAUUGCCCAGGCUGCAGUGCAAGAAGUAUGAUGGCACCAUAUCUCAUCUUGCACCUCAAUGAUCAUCUAACAAGAAUCCUUCUGCAGAUCCCAUCUAAAAUUACAUUUCCAGGCAUUCCACAUAACCGGAGGAAAAAAAACAUGGAUCCUAUGGAAAGUAUGUAAGUAAGAUAGACUUCAGUUUGAAUCUAUUCUGACACCUCUGUAACAUUAAACAGGGUGUUUUGGCUCUUUUACUAUGAGCUUUCUUAUCUGAAAGUAAGAAUAGUAGCAAUUUUCUUUUAAACUUGUUGGAAAAGUUAAAUGAGAUAUACGUUUAAAUCACUUUUGUGUCUGGCACAUAG